rnacentral:lncRNA from 1 species
GCAUCCAUGAGUUUUUCAUACUGUCCUUUAAUUGCAUCCUUUUCUUCUGGAGUGAGCGCCGCCAUGGUGCCGGCCUCCAGCAGCAGGCAGUCCUGGCGGCCCCGCGCCUCCAGCAGCGCGCUCGGCCCCGGCUCCUGCUUCCACAGCAGCCGCAGCCCUUUGCUCAGAGCCAUGGCGGGCGCCGCGGGUCUCCGACGGAGCUGGCGGGAAGCGGCUGGGCAGCGCCCUUCCCCU